rnacentral:rRNA from 1 species
GAUGAACGCUGGCGGCGUGCCUAAUACAUGCAAGUCGAGCGAACAGACGAGGAUCUUGCUCCUCUUACGUUAUCGGCUGACGGGUGAGUAACACGUGGAUAACCUACCUAUAAUACUGGGAUAACUUCGUGAAACCGGAGCUAAUACCGGAUAAUAUAUUGAACCGCAUGGUUCAAUAGUUAAAGUCGGUUUUGCUGUCACUUAUAGAUGGAUCCGCGCCGCAUUAGCUAGUUGGUAAGGUAACGGCUUACCAAGGCAACGAUGCGUAGCCGACAUGAGAGGGUGAUCGGACACACUGGAACUGAGACACGGUCCAGAAUACUACGGGAGGCAGCAGUAGGGAAUGUGACGAAAUGGGAGAAAGCAUGACGGAGCAAAGCCGCGUGAGUGAUGAAGGUCUUCGGAUCGUAAAACUCUGUUAUUAGGGAAGAAAAAAUGUGUAAGUAACUAUGCACGUAGUGACGGUACCUAAUAAGAAAGCAACGGCUAACUACGUG